AUGAACGCUAGCGAUAGGCCUCACACAUGCAAGUCGAGGGGCAGCACAAGGUAGCUUGCUAUCUGGGUGGCGACCGGCGCACGGGUGCGUAACGCGUAUGCAACUUGCCCUAUACAGGAGGAUAACCCGUCGAAAGACGGACUAAUACUGCGUAUGCUCACAACUUGGCAUCAAGUGGUGAGGAAAGAAAUUCGGUAUAGGAUAGGCAUGCGUCCCAUUAGCUUGUUGGUGAGGUAACGGCUCACCAAGGCAACGAUGGGUAGGGGAACUGAGAGGUUUAUCCCCCACACUGGUACUGAGACACGGACCAGACUCCUACGGGAGGCAGCAGUGAGGAAUAUUGGUCAAUGGGCGCGAGCCUGAACCAGCCAAGUCGCGUGAAGGAUGACUGUCUUAUGGAUUGUAAACUUCUUUUAUACGGGAAUAACAAGAGUCACGUGUGACUCCCUGCAUGUACCGUAUGAAUAAGCAUCGGCUAACUCCGUG
rnacentral:rRNA from 1 species